CCUACGGGAGGCAGCAGUGAGGAAUAUUGGUCAAUGGACGAGAGUCUGAACCAGCCAAGUAGCGUGAAGGAUGACUGCCCUAUGGGUUGUAAACUUCUGUUAUAAAGGAAUAAAACGAGGCACGUGUGCCUUUUUGCAUGUACUUUAUGAAUAAGGAUCGGCUAACUCCGUGCCAGCAGCCGCGGUAAUACGGAGGACCCGAGCGUUAUUCGGAUUGAUUGGGUUUAAAGGGAGCGUAGAUGGGUUGUUAAGUCAGUUGUGAAAGUUUGCGGCUCAACCGUAAAAUUGCAAUUGAUACUGGCAGUCUUGAGUACAGUUGAGGUAGGCGGAAUUCGUGGUGUAGCGGUGAAAUGCUUAGAUAUCACGAAGAACCCCGAUUGCGAAGGCAGCUUACUAAACUGUGACUGACAUUGAUGCUCGAAAGUGUGGGUAUCAAACAGGAUUAGAUACCCGUGUAGUC
rnacentral:rRNA from 1 species